UACGGAGGGUGCAAGCGUUAUCCGGAAUCACUGGGUUUAAAGGGUGCGUAGGCGGUGGCGUAAGUCAGUUGUGAAAUUCCCCGGCUUAACCGGCGGGACUGCAAUUGAUACUGCGUCACUUGAAUCAGGAUGAGGUAGGCGGAAUGUGGCAUGUAGCGGUGAAAUGCUUAGAUAUGCCAGAGAACACCGAUUGCGAAGGCAGCUUACUGGACCUGUAUUGACGAUGAGGCACGAAAGUGUGGGGAGCAAACAGG
rnacentral:rRNA from 1 species